rnacentral:rRNA from 1 species
UACGGGGGGAGCAAGCGUUGUUCGGAUUUACUGGGCGUAAAGGGCGCGUAGGCGGUCAGCACAAGUCAGUUGUGAAAUCUCCGAGCUUAACUCGGAAAGGUCAACUGAUACUGUGCGACUAGAGUGCGGAAGGGGCAACUGGAAUUCUUGGUGUAGCGGUGAAAUGCGUAGAUAUCAAGAGGAACACCUGCGGCGAAGGCAGCUCGCUGGGACGGUACUGACGCUGAGGCGCGAAAGCGUGGGGAGCGAACAGG